rnacentral:rRNA from 1 species
CUUGGUCAUUUAGAGGAAGUAAAAGUCGUAACAAGGUUUCCGUAGGUGAACCUGCGGAAGGAUCAUUAUCGUACAAUGGGGGUACCACGGCUGUCGCUGACUUUUUCGGUCGUGCACGCCAGAGUGCUCUCACGUACAAAUAUCCAUCUCACCCCUUUGUGCAUCACCGCGUGGGUCCCCCUUCCUCCGAGGGGGGUCCUCACGUUUUUAACAUUAAACACCCAUUCGAACGUAUCGUAGAAUGUUCUUUGCGCGAUCACGCGCGAUCAAUACAACUUUCAACAACGGAUCUCUUGGCUCUCGCAUCGAUGAAGAACGCAGCGAAAUGCGAUACGUAAUGUGAAUUGCAGAAUUCAGUGAAUCAUCGAAUCUUUGAACGCACCUUGCGCCCCUUGGCAUUCCGAGGGGCACACCCGUUUGAGUGUCGUGAAAUUCUCAAAGCCCUUUUCUUUGAUCGGAAGAGGGCUUUUGGACUUGGAGGUUCCAUGCUUGCUUUUGCCUUUGAAGGUGAGCUCCUCUCAAAUGAAUUAGUGGGGUCCGCUUUGUCGAUCCUCGACGUGAUAAGAUGUUUCUACGUUUUGGAUUUGGCACCGCCUUCCGGAAGCCCGCUCCUAAUCGUCCGCAUGGACAAACGAUGGUGCUCCGGUCCGUCGCCAAAUCUACGUUGGCGGGGGGCUUGACCCACGACCAAAACCUUGACCUCAAAUCGGGUGAGACUACCCGCUGAACUUAAGCAUAUCAAUAAGCGGAGGA